GACGAACGCUGGCGGCGUGCCUAAUACAUGCAAGUCGAACGCAGUGGGGACGGGUGAGUAACACGUGGGUAACCUCCCAUCAGAGGGGAUAACACUUGGAAACAGGUGCUAAACCGAUACUGAUGGAUGGACCCGCGGUGAAUUAGCUAGUUGGUGGGGUAACGGCUCACCAAGGCCAAGAUUCAUAGCCGACCUGAGAGGGUGAUCAGCCACACGGGAACGUAGACACGGCCCAGACUCCUACGGGAGGCAGCAGUGGGGAAUAUUCGGCAAGGGACGAAAGUCUGACCGAGCAACGCCGCGUGAGUGAAGAAGGUUUUCGGAUCGUAAACCUCUGUUGUUAGAGAAGCGGUAUCUAACCAGAAAGCCACGGCUAACUACGUGCCAGCCGCCGCGGUAAUUC
rnacentral:rRNA from 1 species